UGGACUGGCAAGGCAAUUCUGAAGCAAGGGUUUUGAUAAAUGGAAAGAUGAAUCAGACAGAGUCUUACAGUAGGAUAGUGGGUGGUUUUCUUUCUUUUCUUUUUUGUUUUCUUUUUAUUGGUAGUAUUAAUAGUUUACAUUUGACAGUAAAAUACAGUAGUUGGUACAUGUGGUACAUUUCUCAGUUUUCCAUAUAACACUCUAACACUUUGCCAUCAUAUUCCAGGACCUGAACACUCCCCCGACCUCUGCCCCAGAGUCCUUUACGUUGGUGUGAUUUACCUUCUUUACCUCAUCUAGGAUGGAACUCAAAGGAAUCAUAAUCAAUUAGGAAUACCAAAGGAGACACCUGGGACCACAACAAGACAGGACUAAAACAACUUCAGGAACCCAUCAAAUCACUGCUACCAAGUUGCAGUUGCUACCAUGACCCCAACUAAACUUCCCUCACCAAUGUACCCUGGAACCCCACCUCUCCAGAGCCCUGCCCCACUAGGGAAAGAUAGAAACAGGCUGGGGUAUGAACAGACCUCUCAAUGCCCAUGUCCAGCAGAGAAGCAAUUACAGAAGUCAGACCUUCCAUUUUCUGCUUCCCAUAAAGAUUUUUGGUCCAUACUCUCAGAAUAAAGAAUAAAGAGACUUCUAAGGGGGUGGAGGUGGGGUGGGAUAUGGAACUCUGGUGGUGGGAACUGAAUG